UAAAGUCAGCCCAGACGCAGCUGGCAGAGCAGAGGAGCAGCGUGUGUGAGCCUGUCCCACCCUGUACCUGGGCUGGGGCUCAUGCAAGGGACACGUCUCCAGGGACAUGUUGAGGUCAGGAGGGACCUUUUUGCCUUUGGAUCCUUAAUGACUGAGAAGGAAUGUGUAGCCUCAUACUGAAGAUCCCUGGGUAAAAUAACACCUCUCAGGAAUGCUGGCAUGAGACAAGGAGAAAUGCCACAACAUUAAUUCUCUGGUGCAAGCUUCUCACUGUGACACUUUUGCUAAGAUGUGGCUGAACACUGGAUCCUGGAGAUGCAUUUGUCAGAGAAAGAAAUAUGAGCAGCAGGUUCUGGAUGAGGAGGUGACAUUAAGGAUGCCCUUUCCAUCACAUGUCAAAGCAGCUGAAAAUCUUCCGUUACCAAACAGCAGUCUUCUUCGUGAUCCGUUGGCAAGUCUGAUUUAUGAACCUUUAUGAGAAUUUGAAGAAUGCCUUUAUAAAUGAGUGACAUCUUCUAAAUUUCUUAUAUUUGUCUCAUCAAUGGCCAAACAGCCCUCUGGGAAGUGGUUCUUGACAAGCACUCAGAU